rnacentral:rRNA from 1 species
AUUGAACGCUGGCGGCAGGCUUAACACAUGCAAGUCGAGCGAGCGGCGGACGGGUGAGUAAUGUAUGGGGACUGCCCGAUAGAGGGGGAGAACAACUGGAAACGGUGGCUAAUACCGCAUCCUACCGGAUAACCCCUAUGGGAUUAGCUAUUAGGUGGGGAAAAGGCUGACCUAGGCGACGAGCUCUAGAUGGUCUGUGAGGAUGAUCGGCCACACUGAGACAGAGGCACGGACCAGACUCCUACGGAGGCAGCAGUGGGGAAUAUUGCACAAGGGGCGAAAGCCUACUGGCGCCAUGCAGCGUAUAGGAGGAGGGCAUUAGGGUUGUAAGGUACUUACAGCAGGGAGGCGUUACGCGCAGAAGAAGCGCCGGCUAACUCCGUGCCAGCGGCCGCGGUAAUAC